GCGGAAGGAUCAUUAUUGAAACUUUGGAAAUAGUAUUGUUGCUGGCCUUUUAAUCGGGUAUGUGCACAUACUAUUUCUGAUCUUAUUCAUCCACCUGUGCAUUUAUUGUAGGAAGGUCUUUUAAAAAGGUUGGCUUUGUUAACAGAGUCAAACUUGGAUAAAAAGGGCUUUUCCUAUGUUCUUAUAAAUCUCUUGAAGUAUGUUUUUGAAUGUCUUUUAUUGGGUACUUUAUUGUUCCCUUUAAACUUGUACAACUUUUAGCAACGGAUCUCUUGGCUCUCCCAUCGAUGAAGAACGCAGCGAAAUGCGAUAAGUAAUGUGAAUUGCAGAAUUCAGUGAAUCAUCGAAUCUUUGAACGCACCUUGCGCCCUCUGGUAUUCCGGAGGGCAUGCCUGUUUGAGUGUCAUUAAAUUCUCAACUCUAAAAGCUUUUUUUAAGCUUAUUAGUGCUUGGAUGUUGGGAGCUUGCUGGUGUCUUUAGGACGUUCGGCUCUCCUUAAAUUUAUUAGUGGAAGUCUCUUUGUUGGAGUUCAUCCUUGGUGUGAUAAUUAUCUACGCUUUGGAUAGUCCAAUGUUUCCAUUGAGACAGUUGAAUGCCAUAUUUCUGGUGUUUUUCUGGCUUUUGUGGUAUUGCAACUUUGUUUGCUUUACUUGAAAUCUCAGAGGAAAAAGUGAAGUCUCUGCUUUCUAACAGUCCAUUCUAUUGUGGACAACUUAUUGACUAUUUGACCUCAAA
rnacentral:rRNA from 1 species